AAAUGUUAACUCGUUCUCCGUUGAAACAAGCUCGCGAUCGCUCGACUCGCAUUUCCGGCGAGCUGUCCGCGUCGAUAAUCGAUUCACCGAUUUCGCAGGCUUCGAUAUCCGGCAUCGAUGCUAUCCGGCACGGUAAAAGUUCUAACCCUUACCUUCUGUCAGCUGUUCGGUCCCGAUUUCAAGGGGCAUUGAACAACGGACCGGACAAGAUUAGCUCGGACCCAUCGCUAGCUUGGUCCUCCGUUCCACUCGAGCGGCCGAAUACACUCUUGUCCGCGUGGUUGUCGGGUAUUAUAUUUUUAGAAGACGGUCCGGGCCGCGAAACUGGAACCGGACGGAAGUGCAGUGCGGGAAAACGCUCUCGCCGCGAUUCCUAUCUCUCGAUGCGUUAUUUAUGGCGAACAAAACGACCGCGGGCCGCGUAAAUACUAGCCGAGGGAAUUUUCUGUACGCAAACUUACCCUCGAACUCCGCCAUGUCAGUUGUUAGGGGAAACAAUGAUCGUCAUGGUAACCCCGAUGACAGACAUUGCAUCGAUCGUUUUUUCCUAAAACUCCUGUCUUAGGAAGAUGAAGAGAUGCCAAUAGGAACUUUAAAUAAUUAUAAUGUAUAAGCUGUUUUUUUCUUAAUGUCGUAAUAUAAUUGUUGAAAGAAU